CAUCUUUUAGAGAAUUCCAAAAAAUCAGCCCUUAUUUAUUUUUCUUUUAUUUUUUCUUUAUCCUAAAACUUAAUCUCAUCCACAGACUCAUCCAAUCUAAUGGUCAGAAUUUUCCCCUACACAAAAAAUCUUACAACCCUAAUUGACUAGAGUUUCAUUCGCUUCUCUCUCUCUGCAGUGCCACCUUCUCAAAUGUUUACCAUUUUUAUGCAAUUUUCAGCCUUUCUUCAGCCAUGGACAGUGCUUGUUCACACCAUUUUGAGGAAAAAAAUUUCGGCAGAACUAUCUUUGAAGGAAAAUGUGUUCUCUUCCCCAAAUUCAUACAUUUACAUAUUCGAAUCUCAUCUGUUCAGAUCAACAUCUCACUACUUCGGAUUUGAGCCGUUCGGAGUCGGGAAGUCGAGGGAAAGUCGUUCUUAUUGAUUGAUUAAGCGAGGUUUAAGCACGAGAUUUCUUCCGUGCGGAGUGUUAUUGGCACGAGGUUUCUUCCGUGUGGAGUGUUAUUGGCACAGGGUUUCUUUCGUGCAGAGUGUUAUUGGCACGAGGUUUCUGCCGUACGGAGUGUUAUUGAUACGAGGUUUCUUCCAUGCAUAGUGUUAUUGGCAUGACGUUUCUUCCGUGCAGAGUGUUAUUAUGGCACAGGGUUUCUGCCGUGCAAAUUUUUGUUAUGGCACGAGGUUUCUGUCGUGCAGUUACUGUGUUUGCUCAAUUUGCUGUAUCGUUUGUUAUUGUUGUUGUUCCUUUACUUGUAAGAUGUUCAUUCCCUUACGUGUUGUAAUUAUCUUCUUGUUUUCCUGUGC